AUGAACGCUGGCGGCGUGCCUAAUACAUGCAAGUCGAGCGAACAGACGAGGAGCUUGCUCCUCUGACGUUAGCGGCGGACGGGUGAGUAACACGUGGAUAACCUACCUAUAAGACUGGGAUAACUUCGGGAAACCGGAGCUAAUACCGGAUAAUAUAUUGAACCGCAUGGUUCAAUAGUGAAAGACGGUUUUGCUGUCACUUAUAGAUGGAUCCGCGCCGCAUUAGCUAGUUGGUAAGGUAACGGUUACCAAGGCAACGAUGCGUAGCCGACCUGAGAGGGUGAUCGGCCACACUGGAACUGAGACACGGUCCAGACUCCUACGGGAGGCAGCAGUAGGGAAUCUUCCGCAAUGGGCGAAAGCCUGACGGAGCAACGCCGCGUGAGUGGUGAAGGUCUUCGGAUCGUAAAACUCUGUUAUUAGGGAAGAACAAAUGUGUAAGUAACUAUGCACGUCUUGACGGUACCUAAUCAGAAAGCCACGGCUAACUACGUG
rnacentral:rRNA from 1 species